rnacentral:rRNA from 1 species
AGUGAACGCUGGCGGUAGGCCUAACACAUGCAAGUCGAACGGCAGCACAGUAAGAGCUUGCUCUUACGGGUGGCGAGUGGCGGACGGGUGAGGAAUACAUCGGAAUCUACUUUUUCGUGGGGGAUAACGUAGGGAAACUUACGCUAAUACCGCAUACGACCUACGGGUGAAAGCAGGGGACCUUCGGGCCUUGCGCGAUUGAAUGAGCCGAUGUCGGAUUAGCUAGUUGGCGGGGUAAAGGCCCACCAAGGCGACGAUCCGUAGCUGGUCUGGGAGGAUGAUCAGCUACACUGGAACUGAGACACGGUCCAGACUCCUACGGGAGGCAGCAGUGGGGAAUAUUGGACAAUGGGCGCAAGCCUGAUCCAGCCAUACCGCGUGGGUGAAGAAGGCCUUCGGGUUGUAAAGCCCUUUUGUUGGGAAAGAAAUCCAGCCGGCUAAUACCUGGUUGGGAUGACGGUACCCAAAGAAUAAGCACCGGCUAACUUCGUGCCAGCAGCCGCCGUAAUAC